rnacentral:rRNA from 2 species
AUAGCUGAUUGCACCAACAAAUGGUUGAUGCAAUAUUGACUCUGUCAAAUAAAAUUCUAGGUAGAAUUAUGAUAAUGACAUUGUCUGCCUAUAUGUCUUGACCAAAUUACGUGCCAGCAGUCGCGGUAAUACGUAGAAGACUAGUGUUAUUCAUCUUUAAUAGGUUUAAAGGGUACCUAGACGGUAAAUCAAGCCUUCACAGGGACUAAUUUACUAGAGUUACUUACGAGGGGGUAUUAAAGUACUGCAGGUGUAGAGAUGAAAUUCUGUCAUACCUCUUUUCAAAAGAAAAAUUAUGGCACAGGUAUAGGUGAAAGCAUCCCCUUAUGUGAUAACUGACGUUGAAGGACGAAGGCUUUGUGUCGCGAACAGGAUUAGAUACCCCAGUAGUCAAAGCAGAAAAUGAUGAAUGUCAUAGAUUAGAUAUAUAGUUUAUUCUAUAAAUGAAAAUGUAAGCAUUCCACCUCAAGAGUAAUUUGGCAACAUUGGAACUGAAAUCAUUAGACCGUUUCUGAAACCAGUAGUGAAGUAUGUUGUUUAAUUUGAUGAUCCGCAAAAAACCUUACCACAAUUUGAAUAUUUGUAUCUAUCUUUUUGUACGUAAAAAAAUAAAAAGGUAAUAUAUUUACAAGCGUUGCACGGCUGUCUUCAGUUAAUGUCGCGAGACUUUGGUUAGUUCCAUUUAAUUAACGUAAACCCUUACUUUAUUUUUAUAUGAAGUAGUUCCCCGCUAUAUUGGAUAUGAUAACAGG